rnacentral:rRNA from 1 species
UCCUGACUGACCGAUAGUGAACCAGUACCGUGAGGGAAAGGCGAAAAGAACCCCGGCGAGGGGAGUGAAAAAGAACCUGAAACCGUGUACGUACAAGCAGUGGGAGCACGCUUAGGCGUGUGACUGCGUACCUUUUGUAUAAUGGGUCAGCGACUUAUAUUCUGUAGCAAGGUUAACCGAAUAGGGGAGCCGAAGGGAAACCGAGUCUUAACUGGGCGUUAAGUUGCAGGGUAUAGACCCGAAACCCGGUGAUCUAGCCAUGGGCAGGUUGAAGGUUGGGUAACACUAACUGGAGGACCGAACCGACUAAUGUUGAAAAAUUAGCGGAUGACUUGUGGCUGGGGGUGAAAGGCCAAUCAAACCGGGAGAUAGCUGGUUCUCCCCGAAAGCUAUUUAGGUAGCGCCUCGUGAAUUCAUCUCCGGGGGUAGAGCACUGUUUCGGCAAGGGGGUCAUCCCGACUUACCAACCCGAUGCAAACUGCGAAUACCGGAGAAUGUUAUCACGGGAGACACACGGCGGGUGCUAACGUCCGUCGUGAAGAGGGAAACAACCCAGACCGCCAGCUAAGGUCCCAAAGUCAUGGUUAAGUGGGAAACGAUGUGGGAAGGCCCAGACAGCCAGGAUGUUGGCUUAGAAGCAGCCAUCAUUUAAAGAAAGCGUAAUAGCUCACUGGUCGAGUCGGCCUGCGCGGAAGAUGUAACGGGGCUAAACCAUGCACCGAAGCUGCGGCAGCGACGCUUAUGCGUUGUUGGGUAGGGGAGCGUUCUGUAAGCCUGCGAAGGUGUGCUGUGAGGCAUGCUGGAGGUAUCAGAAGUGCGAAUGCUGACAUAAGUAACGAUAAAGCGGGUGAAAAGCCCGCUCGCCGGAAGACCAAGGGUUCCUGUCCAACGUUAAUCGGGGCAGGGUGAGUCGACCCCUAAGACGAGGCCGAAAGGCGUAGUCGAUGGGAAACAGGUUAAUAUUCCUGUACUUGGUGUUACUGCGAAGGGGGGACGGAGAAGGCUAUGUUGGCCGGGCGACGGUUGUCCCGGUUUAAGCGUGUAGGCUGGUUUUCCAGGCAAAUCCGGAAAAUCAAGGCUGAGGCGUGAUGACGAGGCACUACGGUGCUGAAGCAACAAAUGCCCUGCUUCCAGGAAAAGCCUCUAAGCAUCAGGUAACAUCAAAUCGUACCCCAAACCGACACAGGUGGUCAGGUAGAGAAUACCAAGGCGCUUGAGAGAACUCGGGUGAAGGAACUAGGCAAAAUGGUGCCGUAACUUCGGGAGAAGGCAC